rnacentral:rRNA from 1 species
UACGUAGGGUCCGAGCGUUGUCCGGAAUUAUUGGGCGUAAAGGGCUCGUAGGCGGUCUGUCGCGUCGGGAGUGAAAACUUACAGCUUAACUGUGAACUUGCUUUCGAUACGGGCAGACUUGAGGCAUUCAGGGGAGAACGGAAUUCCUGGUGUAGCGGUGAAAUGCGUAGAUAUCUGCAGGAACACCCGUGGCGAAAGCGGCGCGCUGGACCACUACUGACGCUGAGGAACGAAAGCUAGGGGAGCAAACAGG